ACGGGUGAGUAACGCGUGGGAACGUGCCUUCCGGUUCGGAAUAACCCUGGGAAACUAGGGCUAAUACCGGAUACGCCCUUAUGGGGAAAGGUUUACUGCCGGAAGAUCGGCCCGCGUCUGAUUAGCUAGUUGGUGGGGUAACGGCCUACCAAGGCGACGAUCAGUAGCUGGUCUGAGAGGAUGAUCAGCCACACUGGGACUGAGACACGGCCCAAACUCCUACGGGAGGCAGCAGUGGGGAAUAUUGGACAAUGGGCGCAAGCCUGAUCCAGCCAUGCCGCGUGAGUGAUGAAGGCCUUAGGGUUGUAAAGCUCUUUUAUCCGGGACGAUUAUGACGGUACCGGAGGAAUAAGCCCCGGCUAACUUCGUGCCAGCAGCCGCGGUAAUACGAAGGGGGCUAGCGUUGCUCGGAAUCACUGGGCGUAAAGGGCGCGUAGGCGGCGUUUUAAGUCGGGGGUGAAAGCCUGUGGCUCAACCACAGAAUGGCCUUCGAUACUGGGACGCUCGAGUAUGGUAGAGGUUGGUGGAACUGCGAGUGUAGAGGUGAAAUUCGUAGA
rnacentral:rRNA from 1 species